UAGGUGAGCCAGGAAAGCCUGGCUUGAGCAACCACUUCAGAGGGCAGGACAGGGAGGAAAAGCAAACACUGUAGAGAGGUGGCCUCCCUGGUAAGGCUAGAGCAGGACCGUCCUGCGGACUCUGAGGGAGGGAGAAGGACGGCUGUUCCCGGUGGUAGAAUCCGUGAAGUGCUGCAGCUGGGAGAGGUCCUAACGCGUGUGCCUGGCGCUGCGUACGUGCAAACCAGGGCCAGAAAUUGCUGGGGCAGCAGGCGCUGGACAGCGAGCCUGCCGUGCCGCCCCAGUGAGUUGUGUGAGUCCUCAGCACUUCUGGAAGUUGUUUUUGUAAGUCUGAGCCGAAAAUUUCUUUCCGUUUUUUAGAGUUUCUAAAUGACUAUAAUGUUCAGUGUAGUUUAAAAGUCGCCAAGGCAGUUGAGACCAGUUGUGCUCUCAGAGUGGGUGGUUUCAUGGCUGAACCUCGUAUCUGAAAAGCGAAAUGUUCUGGUACAGCGUGUUUAAAUCCCAGAAAGGUCAAACCAGACUUUCAUACUUGAGUUAGAUUGACCCUGGUUUGCUGCGUGAGACUCUUUAGAUAAAGAGAUCUUUCAGGGAAAGGCGGGGGGGAAAGAUUUUUUUUCUCUGAACAGCUUGUGGUGACUCUGUGCACAUUCUUGAAGCAAAGGAGUUUGUUCUUGCCCACAGCGUCCCUGCCUGGCAUUGUUGAGUGGAAAACUCUUAUCCUAAUUAUAUCACUGUCUGUUAUCAAUAAGAAGUGAUUUAAUUUCUUUGGCAAAGUGUUGCAACAAGAGCAAAUUAGAUUGAGAGGCAAAGUGAAAUAAAAAAUAUGCAGCUGUUCUGCCAAACAAUGAUCCUGACUGUUUACAACAUUUUGUUUUAGACUGCCUUGUACACAGAAUCCUUUAUAUUGAAGGUUUUCAAGUCACAAUCCACUGCUUGUGCAGGGAAACUGGGUUAAUAGAUUAUAAAAGACAAAAAAGACCAAGGUUCAUCUGGUUCAACUUCCUGCAUUAUGCAGGUCUCUUGAUUUUUAUGAAUUUUUGGCUUUUUCCCAUUUGAAAGAAUUUAACUGCAGCAUAGCUGCAGCUUAGAUAAAGAUCAGAUUUUCAUUUUCAAAUGGGCUGUGAAAGGGAGUAAAAUAAGGGUAAAUUGUUUCCAUCAAAAAUCUGCCUGACAGACUAGAAAUCAAAGUACCUUUUUAAACUUGUCUAGUUUCUGCUUUCAGUUUCUGGAUGUGUCUGUCCCUCAGUCUCCUUGGCAGAGGAAUGCUCCAUGACCAGAUUUCCAUCCCCUCAUAGCUGUGUGCAAGCUGAGCAUUUAAACACUCCGUUGCAGGCUGCAGAGCUCCCCCUCGGGUCCAUCUCUACUAAUCCUGUAAUUGUUCCUGCUCCCGUUUGUCACCAUUUUGAUCCGGGCAGAAGGGGACAGAGCCAUGGGCAGUGACCAUGCCCGAGCCAACAGCCCUCCUGGCUCAGAUGUGUCUGUCAGGCAUCCAGGGAUUACUCCAGCCCAUGUUCAGCUGGUUUCCCAGCAUGGCACCUAAAAUGCUCUCAGAUCUGCUCCUCAGGAUGACAACCCUGUACUGCAGAAUUGUGCUCUUUGUUUUGCAUGUAUGGCUUUACUCUGGUCCUCUUAGGCAGUGUUGUUGCUUGCAAUGGCCUUUUUAAAUUAUUAUUUUUAUUUGAUACUCCCUUCUGAUACUGCUUAGUGUCACCUACAAACUGGUUAUGAAUUUAUGUUUUCUUCCAGAUAAACAGCCUAUCUGCACUGUGGGUGUUUCCUGGUUCGGGGUGUGUGUACACACACCUCAGCAGUGUCAAUAUUGUGUCAGGAGGAGGUCUGGUUCCACACCAUCCCUUGCCACACCCCAGUUGCAUGGGAAGAAAGCCCGGUUUAGGAGCUGGAAGGGAGCCAGAGGCACACUGCAACACUUGCCUGCCCUGGUGUCUAUUAUGUAGCCAUGAAAUAAUGCCGAGCAAAAAACAGGUGGUUGCAGGACCCAUAAAAGAAAGAUGAGAGGUCUGGGGCAGGGUGGUUACAAAGUACAUUUUGAGACCUUCCUGUUAGAUGGGGUUUUUUUUAGACGGGAUGCCUCACUACAUACUCUGUAUCCAGCUGUUCAUUCAAGACCUAAAUACAUUAGGGACUUCUUCCCCCUGCCAAAUUUGAGAUUGGAGGAAGGAGGGGGGGAAAUGACAUAGAACAACACAGUCACAUUAGACAGUUUUAUUUUUAGGAAACCAGGCUAAGAAUAUCAAAGGAAUAUUGAAUAGGAAUAUGGACAGGGUAUUUGCCUGUCCAGAUUUUCUUGCCAUGAAAAUUUUCAUUCCUUCCUAAGAACAGCAGAUGAUCUGUCUAGGGAAUUGUCAGCCAAAAUAAGCAACCUGCUGACAGAUUUCACCUGUGUCCCAGCAUGCUCUGAGGAUGCAUGGGAUGUCAGCCUUGAACAAUGACAGGGAAUCACUAGGCUGUGUUGUUUGGCUGCCGGGGUGCAGAGAUGCAUGGUGACACCCAACAGUGGAACAAACAUUUACUGUGUUUAAAAUCCAGACAAAUUUUGAUGGAUAUGUUGGCUAUUUGCUGUAGCUUGGGGGGAGGGGGGUGUGUGUAUUACUUUUUAAACUGUGAUCAUAUUAUUUCUGCAAGUAUUAUGACAAAGCCACCUCUGUAAGGUAGGGAGUGAGUGCUUUCAGAGAUCUAAUCUUUCUCGAGCUAUAAAGGAAUAAAGAAGCUGUUUCAACACC